AAAGAAAGCGUCUCACCAGGUGCAAUUGCUUAAUAGGGAAUCCCGUGAAAACCGGGAACGAGCCCAUCGCUGUAUUAUCUUUGAUUUCAAGAAUAUCUGCCGGGGAAAUCAAGGAACU
rnacentral:ncRNA from 2 species